rnacentral:rRNA from 1 species
AGAGUUUGAUCCUGGCUCAGGACGAACGCUGGCGGCGUGCUUAACACAUGCAAGUCGAACGGUAAGGCCCUUCGGGGUACACGAGUGGCGAACGGGUGAGUAACACGUGGGUAAUCUGCCCUGCACAUCGGGAUAAGCCUGGGAAACUGGGUCUAAUACCGAAUAGGACCACAGGACACAUGUCCUGUGGUGGAAAGCUUUUGCGGUGUGGGAUGGGCCCGCGGCCUAUCAGCUUGUUGGUGGGGUGAUGGCCUACCAAGGCGACGACGGGUAGCCGGCCUGAGAGGGUGUCCGGCCACACUGGGACUGAGAUACGGCCCAGACUCCUACGGGAGGCAGCAGUGGGGAAUAUUGCACAAUGGGCGAAAGCCUGAUGCAGCGACGCCGCGUGGGGGAUGACGGCCUUCGGGUUGUAAACCUCUUUCACCAUCGACGAAGGUCCGGGUUUUCUCGGGCUGACGGUAGGUGGAGAAGAAGCACCGGCCAACUACGUGCCAGCAGCCGCGGUAAUACGUAGGGUCCGAGCGUUGUCCGGAAUUACUGGGCGUAAAGAGCUCGUAGGUGGUUUGUCGCGUUGUUCGUGAAAACUCACAGCUCAACUGUGGGCGUGCGGGCGAUACGGGCAGACUUGAGUACUGCAGGGGAGACUGGAAUUCCUGGUGUAGCGGUGGAAUGCGCAGAUAUCAGGAGGAACACCGGUGGCGAAGGCGGGUCUCUGGGCAGUAACUGACGCUGAGGAGCGAAAGCGUGGGGAGCGAACAGGAUUAGAUACCCUGGUAGUCC